AUUUAUAUUUUAAUAGAAUUUACGAAUUUUAAUAAUUAAUAUAUAAUUAACGUAUAUUUAUUUAAGUUAAUUACAUUUUAAAUUUUUAACGAUUUAUGAAAUCAAAAUAAUUUUAGAACUUUACAUUGAAACAAUUCGUUUUACGAAAACACGUUCGAUUGACUUUGGAAAACAAUCCUAACCGUUUUGGAUUCAAACAAACUUAAUUUUAAUCCUAGCCCAAAUUGGUGAAGCCCAAGAUAGAUAAACCCAUAAGUCUUUCCUCUCAUCUCCUUCAACUUCACGUGGAAAAGGAAAAAAAAAACCCUCUAACCCACACCAAACAAGAAAAAUCACGUAUUGCUGUUUCACGUGAAAUUUCUCAAACCUCCUCCUUGCUUCAGCUUCCCGGAACCUCUGCGCCGUCACCUUCGGCCGCCUAACCACCGUCGGCGUUCCUCCCUUCUCCGUCGUUCCGCCGCGACCACCACCUCACGGCCUCCCUUGCCGCACCGCGCCGCCCAACUGUUGCAGCCUCCCUAUUCUUCCUGUCACGCACGCAGUCGCAGCCCCUUGCUUGCACAACCACCUCGGCGUGACUACCUUCAACCACCACCAUCAGCAAGCGUCGCCCAACCUCGGCGACCACCUGCACCGUCGUCGCGCAGCCCGCCGUCGGCCAGCUUCCCUCCUCUCUCCUUUGGCGGAGAAUUCUUUGUAGGCGACUUUUGAAUUAUUAAAGUGGUCUUGCAGUUUGUUUACACAAGGAAUAAAAUGUUUCUUUCCAAGUACACCAACAUAGGAUCCUUCGAGAAACUUGAUAUAGAAACCCCAGAUAUUUACGUGAAGAAAAUCAUGUUUGGAUGUGAAUAUUAUGCUAAAGUUCAAGGGCAACCUAUCUUAAUGAGAAAGGAUAUCAUAGCAGCUACUAUCAUUAAUUGCUUACCUAACAAAUUUCCAUACCUAGAACUCAAGGAAAAGUUUAAAGACAUGCAUUCUGAUAAUGGAACUCCAAACCUGGCUAAAUAUGGGACUUGGGAUGGUAGAUGGAAAUAUGAUUCAGAAAUUCUGACCACCAUUAUUGAGGCGGCAGAAAGUGGGUUUAGAGACGGUAAAAUCGUAGGGAGUCAUGUUGGAGAUGCAGUUACAGAAGAACCUAUGGGAGUAAGUGUAAAUAAUGACCUAGAGGAAAAUGAUGUAGCCGUGGAGAGUGAGAAUGUAGGUGUUGAGGCAGAGAAUCCUAACCUAGUGGCUCAUGAGCCAACCAUUGAAAUUUCUAGUGAUUCAGAUGCAGAUCUCGAAAGUGAGCAGCAGGUGGCAAAUGAGCCUAAUCAAGAUGAAGAUAUGGAAGAAGAUGAAGACCCUGAGGAAGAGUUUGAUGAUCUUGAGAUCUAAAUUUCACUCCGCAAGUUUCAGGAGCAAUGGAUAGGCAAGAGGCCACAAAUAUUUUGAAGUCAUAAAUAGUUAAUUUAACUCUUUUAUGUUUUAGAGAAUAAGUAGCGAAGCUACAAUAGUUUAAAGUUAAAGUUUAUUGAAGUUUGAAAUGUUCUUUAUUAUUUUGAAGGAUGUAAUAAAUCUUUAUGGAGUUAGCAAUAAAAGUUAAAGUUUUCAAGGAAUUGUUCUUUAUUCUAUUUUGAGGAUUCCAUAAUACCCCAACCUUUAGGUAACACGUCAUGGAUUAAUUUUCCAUUGGUUGCAUACUCAGUGUGAAUUGUGGAUCAAUUUAAUUGCCACAAUAAUAUUAAAUGAUUUGAGUACAUAAAGGAAGUGAGGGCCAAUCUAGACCCUCAUGACCAAUAUGAUUCAAAAGGUUAUGCCCUAUGUGCAGUGUGUGAAUGUCUUUCGUGAAUUAUCGAGGAUGAUUAUUUUUCAAUGAUUAUUGCAUCUUGUAGACGAUCGUUGCACCUUCAUAAACGAUUGUCGUGCCUUCAUAAAUGAUGUGUAUUAAUGUGAACAUUGUUGGUUGAGGCGAACUUUAUGGUCAAUUCAAGUAUUAAAUUGUAUGGGAUAACGUAUAGGUGAUGUUUCAAACCUAAAGUAGAGUAUACUAAUUGCAGGUCGCGUUCUAGAAUGGCCAACAAUAAUGACUUAGUUGUUGCUAUUCGCCUCUUGGCGGAAAAGAUGACCCCACCUUUUUAGAAAACCAGAUUGGAGAGUUUGAGAAAUUGUUUGGGGAUUUGAAUUGUCUUGAGAAUAUGAGAGUGGGUCAAGUUGUCAUGUAUUUGAAAGAUGAAGCCGAUUUACAGUGGAGAGAAAUAGAGUUAGGCUUAGCGCUGCUGAAAGAUUCAAUUAGGAUUCAAUUGUUACUGCCUUAAGGGAAAGGUUUACCCUACCUUUUAUGAGAAAGCAGAAAGUUUAGGAAUUCAUAAACAUUAGUAUGGGGAGCAUGACCAUCGAUGAAUACUAUUGCAGAUUUAUAGCAUGACCACCUUAGAAUUAGGUGGGGAAACCUCUACAUCUUUGGAUUUUGUGUAUGGGGGAGCGGCUCAUAUUUAUGGGUUGCAGUCUAGAAUGGACAAGAAAAAUAUUGUUGUUGGGGAGAAAAGAAAAGAGUUUAAUGCUGGGGAAAACCAAGGAAAUUUCAAGAGAAAUAUGAAUGAAAAUGGUAAUGGGAGUGGUAACCAGGUAAAGUAGGGAUUUAACCAGUCAGGAAAUUAGGGUCGAAGCCUUUAGGGGCGUAGAACAACUAAGAGAACUUCCAUAAGUCUGCUAAUGAGAAUAACAACCAGGAUAAGGCUCCGGAUAAACUAUUCGUUAUGAGUAGAAGUGAAGCUGAACGUUUUGCAGAUGUAGUUUAUGGUACUUUUCUAUUAACUCCGUGCCAGUUAAAACAUUGUUUGAUUCAGGGGCAACUUGCUCUUUUACUUCGUGCUCUAUUGUUAAAAGUUGAAGUUAGUAGAUUUCGAGGCGAUUGAUUUACCUGUUAGUCUACCUACUGGUGUAACCAUAAAGUGUACCAAGUUGUUUAAGAACUUGCCUUUGAAGACAAAAGAUUGUGUUUUUCCUUCUGAUUUGAUAAAGUUUAGUCUGAGGGACCUAGAUGUAAUUUCGGGGAUGGACUAGCUAAGUGUGUACAAGGCUAAGGUAGAUUGUGAAGUUCAGAAAGUAAGUUUAAGGAACCUUAUUGGAAAAUUGACCUCAUAUAGAUGUUUUGAAAAGUCCAAGAACCUUUACUUAUUUCCGUAAUGCAAGUGAGGAAAUUGAUGAAUAGGGAGUACGAACUAUUUUCUGUAGUGUGUCAGAGGUGAUUAAAGAAGUUAGUGACAAUCGAGGAUGUUGCCAUUGUGAGUGGAUUCAUUGAUGUGUUUCCGAGUGAAAUUACAAGUAUGUUACCUGUUAGAGCUUUUGAGUUCACAAUAGACUUAGAUCCUGAAACGACACCUAUAUCCAAAGCACCUUAUAGCAUGACACCUCCUGAAAUGAGCGAAUUAAGACACAAUUGCAAGAGUUGUUUGUUAAGGAGAAAGAUAAGAGUAUGGAAUCAUGCAUCGAUUUUAGGGAGCUAAACACCAUCAAGAACGAGUAUCCUUUGCCUAGGGUAGAUGACAUAUUUGAUCAAUUGAAUUGGGCGAGUGUGUUCUCAAAGUCUGAUUUGUGUUGAAGUACCACCAAUUGAGGAUAGAUGAUAAGGGCCUAUACCUCAUUAGGACUCGUUAUUGUCAUUAUGGGUUUAGAGUAAUGUCUUUUGGGUUAACCAAUGCACCUGCCAUAAAUAUGGAAUUGAUGAAUGAGAUUUCCCACGAAUUCCGAAUUAAGUUUGUUAUUAUAUUACUGAUGGUAUCCUGAUUUAUUCAAAGAAUGCAAAAAAGAGCAUAAUGAAAUCUUGAGGAUUACUUUGGAGACGCUUAGAAAGAAUCUAGUUUUUUUUUUUUUUCUUAAAUGAAGUAUACAAAUCUUGAAGUCAUGUGUGUAUAAGUGACACCAGUGGAAAAGUGAAGGACUAUAUUGAUCGAAAACUACGUUACGUAAGGGAGUAACAUUAAGAGGUGAUUCGAGUGGUCCAGGAUCGUUAGAAAUUUGUUGUCUUGAAAAGAGGGGAAUAUAUGAAUUGGUGAAAUACUAGAAUUGAAGCCCAAGAGUUAUACAUCCAUGAAAGGCGUAAUGAGGUUCAGUAGAAAAGGAAAGUGGAGCAGAAGGAGUGUCUGUAGAUCCUGCUAAGGUUCAAGCUGUGAGUGAGUGACCUACUCCAAAGAACGUGUCUAAUGUUUGAAGUUUCCUAGGCCUAUUUGACUAUUAUAGGAGGUUUCCGAGAGACUUUUCGAAGAUAGCAAGACCAAUGACCAAUCUGAUGAAAAAGGAAUCAAAGUUUGAGUGAAGGGAGAAAUUUGUGAAAGCUUUCCAGAUUGUAAAAGAACAUUUGACCCCCACACUCGUUGUCACGUCAGUUGAAACCUUACGAGACUAAUUAACCUACUCAUGACCUAAAGCUAGCUGUUAUUGUGUUAUAUGCGAAUAUUCGGAGGCAUUACCUUUAUAGGGCAACAUGUAAGAUCCUUACCGAGCACAAAAGUCUGAAAUUUUGGCAAUAAGGUCCAGUUGAAGCUCGGGGACAACAUUGAAAAUGAUACUGCUUUCCACCCUGUAACCGAUGGUCAGCUUGAGAGCACUAACCAAACCAUGGGAGAUAAGUUGAGAGCAUGUACUAUUGACUUUAAAGAGAAGUUGGGAGAUCAUUUAGAUUUGAUUGAAUUGUCGUGCAUCGAUAGUUACCAUGCGAGCAUUACGAUGUCACAUGUUGAGGCAUUGUGUGGAAAAAGUGUAGAAGUCCAUUGCUGGAAUGAUUUGAGUGAAAAUAUUGUAUUGGGGACAUAAUUCGAUGAAGUGGAAGUAUCAAAAGUUAUUCCCUGAGAUGAGUUACGAGGGCGUAACUCGUUUUCUUUAAGGGGGUAGAAUGCGAUAGAAAUUCGCGCUUUUUACCUACUUUUAUAGCAAUUUCAUGCAUUUUAUGCUAAUUAUUAGCAACUUAUACAUGUUGGUGCAAAGUAAAUAAAUUCUCCGCAUAAGAAAAAGGUGUUCAUGAGUAACACAAGCAUCUUUGAGUUGGCAAAAGAGUGCACAAGAGUGGCACAAAGUACUCCUACAGUAAGAAUAAGUUGAAAACUUUUGAAAAAUGUGUGAAUUUUCGUGUCAAGUUUCGGGACGAAACUUCUUUUAAGAGGGGUAGAUUGUAAUCCCCCGUAAUUUUAUACAUUUUAUUAAUAUAUUUUAACGUAUAGUUAUUUAUAUUUUAAUAGAAUUUACGAAUUUUAAUAAUUAAUAUAUAAUUAACGUAUAUUUAUUUAAGUUAAUUACAUUUUAAAUUUUUAACGAUUUAUGAAAUCAAAAUAAUUUUAGAACUUUACAUUGAAACAAUUCGUUUUACGAAAACACGUUCGAUUGACUUUGGAAAACAAUCCUAACCGUUUUGGAUUCAAACAAACUUAAUUUUAAUCCUAGCCCAAAUUGGUGAAGCCCAAGAUAGAUAAACCCAUAAGUCUUUCCUCUCAUCUCCUUCAACUUCACGUGGAAAAGGAAAAAAAAAACCCUCUAACCCACACCAAACAAGAAAAAUCACGUAUUGCUGUUUCACGUGAAAUUUCUCAAACCUCCUCCUUGCUUCAGCUUCCCGGAACCUCUGCGCCGUCACCUUCGGCCGCCUAACCACCGUCGGCGUUCCUCCCUUCUCCGUCGUUCCGCCGCGACCACCACCUCACGGCCUCCCUUGCCGCACCGCGCCGCCCAACUGUUGCAGCCUCCCUAUUCUUCCUGUCACGCACGCAGUCGCAGCCCCUUGCUUGCACAACCACCUCGGCGUGACUACCUUCAACCACCACCAUCAGCAAGCGUCGCCCAACCUCGGCGACCACCUGCACCGUCGUCGCGCAGCCCGCCGUCGGCCAGCUUCCCUCCUCUCUCCUUUGGCGGAGAAUUCUUUGUAGGCGACUUUUGAAUUAUUAAAGUGGUCUUGCAGUUUGUUUACACAAGUCUCUAAGGAUCAAUAAGCGUUGCCCAUCUACAGGUUUGAAGAUGAUGCAUCAUUGGGAUCGGGAUUAGAGAGCUUGUAGUUCUAUUCGUUUAAUUAAGUGAUUUAAUUUGUUAACUUGGAUUUGAAAUUUGUCGUACUAUUCGUAUUUCCUUAUUUCAGUUAAUUGGUUUUGGACCUAAUAUGUAAUAAGAUUACUUAUGAACCUAAAAGUUAGUUUUAUGUUUUCCGCUGCAAAAUUCUGAAUAAGCCGUACGUUUUCA